rnacentral:rRNA from 1 species
UACGUAGGGGGCGAGCGUUGUCCGGAAUUAUUGGGCGUAAAGCGCGCGCAGGCGGUUUCUUAAGUCUGAUGUGAAAGCCCGUGGCUCAACCACGGAGGGUCAUUGGAAACUGGGAAGCUUGAGUGCAGAAGAGGAGAGUGGAAUUCCACGUGUAGCGGUGAAAUGCGUAGAUAUGUGGAGGAACACCAGUGGCGAAAGCGGCUCUCUGGUCUGUAACUGACGCUGAGGCGCGAAAGCGUGGGGAGCAAACAGG